AGGUGGAGCUAUGUGUCGCUCCUGCAGAGGAAGCCAGAGGAAAGUCUGGUGGAGGUCCACAGCGAGCCUGAUGUGCAAAUCAGUCAUCUGACCUGGGAAUAGGGGCGAAAGGUAAUCAAACCACCCAGGAG
rnacentral:ncRNA from 1 species